rnacentral:lncRNA from 10 species
UGCACACAGGGCCAUGCCCAACCAGCAGGCUCUCAGAGGACUCUUGAGGUGGAAAUGAAAACAGGUACUUUGUUAACCAGUGGAAGCACAAAGAUGAACAAACCAUACUCCUCCCCUCAAGACAACUCUUUCGUGAGGGAGAUAACCCAGGAAAUAGGAGUCUAUUCAUGAGACCGCUGCUCUAACUAGAAGAAUAGGAAGUACCAGAAGGUCACAAAAGAGGAGCUGAUUAGCUCAACCUGAGAAAGUCUCCCAAAGCUUCACAGCGGAAGGAAUGCUGAAGUGGGGAUGAAGAGGUGUUGAUCAGAAAAAAAAGACAGUCUCACUGUGUCACCCAGGUUGGAGUACAAUGGCAUGCUCACUGCUCACUGCAGCCUCAACUUCCCUAACUCAAGUGAUUCUCCCACCUCAGCCUGUUAGCUGGGAUUACAGGGUUCUGUCAAAGCAGAUGACUCCCAAAGGUUUCAUAAAUCUUCCGGAAAAUAAGCUCCUUCAGCUAUAUAAUCAUGGCACCCACGGCUUAAAAGUUGACAGUGAGAACAGCAUUGAACAGCCUGCUGCAUUCAGCAAAAGGUAAUGAGACAUGAUGAGAGGCUCAGAGGAAGAAAGCUGAUAUAGAAGAGCAACCUCCGCUAGGAAAGAUGAUUUACAAUUUAUAUAGAACUUUGUAUUUUAAAGUGUAUUUUAAUUCCCUGGUAUCAAUUUUGCAGUAACUCCUAGAUGGUCUGUAUGAUGUUAACUGUAGACAAAUCAAUGCAAAAAUAAUAGUCUAAGUAGACACUAGGCUGUGAUCUGUCAGUCUAAAAUUUGUUUUCUGGUGUCAUAGCAAUACCAAUUUUAACUAUUCCUGCUUUCCUCUAGAGGUAAUUGAACAGUAUUUUUUUUUUCGAGACAGAGUUUCACUUACUCUGCCGCCCAGGCUAGAGUGCAAUGGCAGGAUCUCAGCUCACUGCAACCUCUGUCUCCUGAGUUCAAGUGAUUCUCCUGCCUCAGCCUCGUGAGAAGCUGGGAUUACAAGCAUGGGCCACCAUGCCUGGCUAAUGUUUGUAUUUUUAAUAGAGACGGGGUUUCGCCAUGUUGCCCAGGCUGGUCUCGAACUCCUGGCCUCAAUGGAUCCACCCGCCUGGACCUCCCACAGUGCUGGGAUUACAGGCAGGAGCCACUAUGCCCAGCUGAACAGUAUUUUAAUGGCCAUCACUGUUAUCUUCCUUUGAGAUUUGGGAAAGUGGUAGCCAAGUUUUUAGGGUCCCUCAGCUGAAGUGGAGGACCCAAAGGUCGGAAAGAGAGGAGGGGCAGGGCUGGGAGGGAGAAAAUGGAAGAGACACAUUCCCCAAAGACCGAAGAUCUGCACAAAAUAUGGCUUACUUGAGAGGAGGGGGUCAGAGAAUAGAAGAAAAACAACACACUAGAAGCUUGGUGCAGCAGCCGGGGUUACAGGAGCAAACACACCAGAAGUGUUUUCCUAAUUUUCCUGGAAUCAGUAUUCAGUACACUCACUGGCCAUACCAGUAACUCCUCCCCUGCGGACCUCGUCAACUCUCCCCAAAGACAACUGCAGACAAUUUAUGCAUCUAGCUCUCCGAGAAGAUAAAGUGGUUUCUUAGGCAAAUUGCUCAAGUAACACUGUUCUGUGUGUUGUUUACUGCUUUGAUGUCUCCCUUCCCAGCCGCUUAAUGAUUAGACUGCUGGCUGCUGGCAAACGAUUCUUUAUGUGCCAGGUGGAAGAAAGGAAACGUUGAAGUGUGAGAACCAGAUCAAUGGUUAGCCUGGAGUGAAUUCUUUUAACUCUGUGAGCAGCAGCGCCCUGUUAGUAAGAGAAUCCCAGGGAUAGACAGAGGACGGCUCUGUGGUCCCUGUAUUAGUUUGCGAGGGCAGCCUUAAACAAACUAGAUGACUUAAACAACAGAAAUGUAUUGUCUCACAGUUCUAGAGGCUAGGAGUCCAAAAAUCCAGCUGCUGGCAAGGUCGGUGUCUUCUCAGGGCUGUAAGGGAAAGCUCUGCUCCAGCCUCUCUCCAAGGUGUGUAGAGGCCGUCUUCUCCUUGUGUCUCUUCACUUCUUCCCUUCGUGUCUGUUUCCAAAUUUUCCUUUUUCCCUUCGUGUCUGUUUCCAAAUUUUCCUUUUUUUUUUUUUUUUUUUUUUUUUUUUUGAGAUGGAGUUUCGCUCUUGUUGCCCAGGCUGGAGUGCAGUGGCACAAUCUCGGCUCACUGCAACCUCCACCUACCAGGUUCAAGCGAUUCUCCUCCCUCAGCCUCCCGAGUAGCU